rnacentral:rRNA from 1 species
UACAGAGGGGGCAAGCGUUGUUCGGAAUUACUGGGCGUAAAGGGCGCGUAGGCGGCGUGCUAAGUCGAACGUGAAAUCCCUCAGCUUAACUGGGGAACUGCGUCCGAUACUGGAUGGCUUGAGUUUGGGAGAGGGAUGCGGAAUUCCAGGUGUAGCGGUGAAAUGCGUAGAUAUCUGGAGGAACACCGGUGGCGAAGGCGGCAUCCUGGACCAACACUGACACUGAGGAGCGAAAGCCAGGGGAGCAAACGGG